rnacentral:tRNA from 1 species
GCCCUAGUAGUUUAACAUAAAGCACCGGUUUUGUAAUCCGGAGACUAAAGAUUAAAACUCUUUCUAGCGCU